GACUCAGUGGUGUAGUGGAGACACUCCAGCUUGUAUUGGGUCGUUAGCAAUCAAGGGUAGCUGGCGAUCCCCGUUCGACUCGGGCUGGGUCA